rnacentral:rRNA from 1 species
GUAGGUGGCAAGCGUUGUCCGGAAUUAUUGGGCGUAAAGCGCGCGCAGGUGGUUCUUUAAGUCUGAUGUGAAAGCCCACGGCUCAACCGUGGAGGGUCAUUGGAAACUGGGGAACUUGAGUGCAGAAGAGGAAAGUGGAAUUCCAAGUGUAGCGGUGAAAUGCGUAGAGAUUUGGAGGAACACCAGUGGCGAAGGCGACUUUCUGGUCUGUAACUGACACUGAGGCGCGAAAGCGUGGGGAGCAAACAGGAUUAGAUACCCUGGUAGUCCACGCCGUAAACGAUGAGUGCUAAGUGUUAGAGGGUUUCCGCCCUUUAGUGCUGCAGCUAACGCAUUAAGCACUCCGCCUGGGGAGUACGGCCGCAAGGCUG